rnacentral:rRNA from 1 species
GGAUGAGCCCGCGGCCUAUCAGCUUGUUGGUGGGGUAAUGGCCUACCAAGGCGACGACGGGUAGCCGGCCUGAGAGGGUGACCGGCCACACUGGGACUGAGACACGGCCCAGACUCCUACGGGAGGCAGCAGUGGGGAAUCUUGCGCAAUGGGCGAAAGCCUGACGCAGCAACGCCGCGUGGGGGAUGAAGGCCUUCGGGUUGUAAACCUCUUUCACCAUCGACGAAGCCCUUUGGGGUGACGGUAGGUGGGGAAGAAGCACCGGCUAACUACGUGCCAGCAGCCGCGGUAAUACGUAGGGUGCGAGCGUUGUCCGGAUUUAUUGGGCGUAAAGAGCUCGUAGGCGGUUUGUCGCGUCGGCCGUGAAAACCUACAGCUUAACUGUGGGCUUGCGGUCGAUACGGGCAGACUUGAGUUCGGCAGGGGAGACUGGAAUUCCUGGUGUAGCGGUGAAAUGCGCAGAUAUCAGGAGGAACACCGGUGGCGAAGGCGGGUCUCUGGGCCGAUACUGACGCUGAGGAGCGAAAGCGUGGGGAGCGAACAGGAUUAGAUACCCUGGUAGUCCACGCCGUAAACGGUGGGCGCUAGGUGUGGGGACUGGUUCCACGGUUUCCGUGCCGUAGCUAACGCAUUAAGCGCCCCGCCUGGGGAGUACGGCCGCAAGGCUAAAACUCAAAGGAAUCGACGGGGGCCCGCACAAGCGGCGGAGCAUGCGGAUUAAUUCGAUGCAACGCGAAGA